UAGCAGGCAAACACAACGCACCCGGGGUGGGGAGGGUGUCGUGGCAGGCAGGGAGCCGCCGGGACCGCCGCGGGUGGGAUGCCACGCUGCUGGUCCUGGUUUUUCCCUUUGGGAACCACACUAAGGUGUCUCCCAGCAUCCUGCCCCGGGCAGGGGGUCCUCCUCGCCCCGCCAGCUCUCCGCAGGAACCAGGUUUAGAGCAGACUCAUCGCAGCUCUCGCUCCCGACCAGCCGAUCAUGGCCAUUUUUCCGGUUGCCAUUGCAUUCUUUGUGGGACUCGCCAUAGGAGCUGUAAUUGUAGCACUGGCAAAUGAUAAGACCAUGGACUUCUCCAUAAAUGCUGAGGGUGCACGUAUCCAUGUGGGGAAAAAACAAAAGGCCUGACUCUGCACUGCAAGCAUCAGCAGCAGACACUGUGCUGUCUGUUAAAAGAACUGGUGACCAUGGCAGUGAAUAGAAGAUUUCCUUCCUUUCAAGUAGCCUGAUUCAAUGUCUUCCCCCUGCUGGAACUGGAAAGCCCCCCAGCUUCCCCUUUAACAGCAGUUGGAUUACUUUGAGCAAUAAAUGCUUUGAAAGCUUUAACA
rnacentral:lncRNA from 1 species